rnacentral:rRNA from 1 species
UACGGAGGAUCCAAGCGUUAUCCGGAGUGACUGGGCGUAAAGAGUUGCGUAGGUGGUUAUGUAAGUGAAUAGUGAAACCUGGUGGCUCAACCAUUCAGACUAUUAUUCAAACUGCAUAACUCGAGAAUGGUAGAGGUAGCUGGAAUUCCUAGUGUAGGAGUGAAAUCCGUAGAUAUUAGAAGGAACACCAAUGGCGUAGGCAGGCUACUGGACCAUUUCUGACACUAAGGCACGAAAGCGUGGGGAGCGAA